rnacentral:lncRNA from 1 species
CCCGGCGGUGCGCUGUGGGCGAGCGGCCAUGGCGGCGGCGGCGGCUGAGGCCUGGUUUGGCAGUGGGGGGAGCCUUGCGCCGUCUGGGCCUGGUGGGGACGCCUCACACCGCCGGCUCCGGCUCAGGGCCGCAGCGCAGAGCUCUCGCCCUGGGCCGGGCCCUCCGCGGAGCUCUCUUCGGGCACACAGAGUUCUGCUAAUAAAAUGGUGAAAUCCAAGCAGUGAGGAGUGUACCUUCUCUUUGCUGAGACUGCUUCUAUUGCUUGUGAAGCCAAGAUUGAGGACAAUCUCUAGAAGGCUACAGUGGAAAGUUCUUUGAGUUGCUAUGGGAAGAAGGCAAACACCUUGAAGAUCUGUUGAAGAUAAUGGAUAAUACAGCUAAGUAAUCCUUUUCUAAAACUUCAGUAGAGAAUAGAGAAGAAACAAGAUGGUGAGAUGGUUGACAAAUUAGUGUGGGCCAGUGUAAACUAUUAAGUCAGCAGGACCCUGAGGAAAUGGCCACAAGUUGUACCAGAGGAGGUUUAGAUCAGAUGUAAGGAAAAGCUAUUUCUCUCUGAGAGUGAUCAGGCACUGGAAUGGCCUGCCCAGGGAGGUGGUGGAGUUGCUGUCCCUGGCAGUGUUCAAGAGGUGUCUGGAUGAGGAGCUAUGAGAUAUGGUUUAGUAGCUUGUGGUAGUAAUGGUAAUGGGAGAACAGUUGGACUAGAUGAUCUCAUAGGUCCUUUCCAACCUUAUAAUUCUAUGAUUCUAUGAUCAGGUUGAUCUGCAGGAAUCCCCACUAUUUUAUUUCCUUUAACGUACCCAUUCUGUAGUACCCUUAUUUCAGAGAGUGUUGAGAAUGCUUUGAAUGUGCAGCAGAAUCAGAAUGCAUGAGUGUCCAACCUUCUGGCUUGUCUGGGCCCCACUGAGUGAAGAGUAAUUGUCUUGGGCAGUAGGUUGCUCUGAAAGCAAUGCCUCUUAUUUUCUGGGGACUACAACAGAUACAAUGAGCAUUGUACAAUGUUGCCAUCCCACCAACAUCCACCACAGACCCUGUGGGCCAAAAUAAUAAAACAGGAGGCAUUACUUCUGCAGCAGCACUUGUAUAGCAUAGUUUUGUUACUUGCGUACAUUAACUUACUUUAAUUUCUAGUAUUUCUAUUCAAAUGGGAAAAGAGCAACAAAGCCAUAGAACCAAUGGGAAGUUUGACCUUGUUUUUGUGAAACUAAUGAAUCCAUUUGGUUCAGUGGCAGUGGUUACAAUUCUUAGCGAGUUCUCUACGUUCUCACUGGAGUUUUUUUUAUGAAGCUUUAUUCUCUUCUGUGCUUUGUCCUUGCCAACAGUUGUUCACAAAUGUACUACUGCCAAAAGCAAUGACAUGAAUUAGGCAUGACUGUGAAGUGAGGGGUAUUUCUCUUAUAAAAAUUGGGUAAAGAGACAUGAUCAGAUUUUUGAGUUGACUAUCUGACUGCAAAUUUGUACAUUCCAUUUGGGAAAAAUGUAUUUGUGUCAAAGGAAAAUGGAGUUGCAAAUUUACAAAAAUGUUUUUUUGCAGUCUUGAAACCAAUUCUCAAAUUCCUUCAUCAAAACCAAAAUCAAGGCUGUAUAUUUUUGCAUUUUGCAGGACUGUUUAGCCAAUAUAUCAAAAGAUAUAUGAUUAUUUGCCAUAACUUGAGUUAGCACUGUGCUCUCUCCAUGCCCUGGUUUCAGCUUGGUGUUAAUAGUGCAGUGAUGUUUGGUUGCUGUUGAGCAAUGGGUGUGUGCCUGGGGCUGGGCAGAGCUGCUGCUGUGGUGGUGGGGGGUGGCUGCCUUGCAAGCUCUGCUGGGCUGCAUGAGGGCUGCAGGUUGGACGUGCCUGUUAUGAUCCCUGCUUAGCCUGAGGAUGUGAGUAUUGAUCAAAACAAGUCUAGAAUAACAGAUUUUACUGGCUGGUGGACUGUGGUUUACUUCUAAGGGGUUCGCAGAAGGUAAGUAGAAACAGCCUUUAAAUUGUUUAUGAAGGCCUAAAUCUUUUUAAGGUUGUUCAGAAUCAGCAUGUUGAAAAACACUAAAUCCCUGACCUGUUAUUAGGUGGAAAACACAGCAUUCUCCAUGGUUCUUCCUUAAUAUUUGAGAGGGGAAAAAAAGUAGUAUGUUGAGGCCACUGUUGCAGGUUGUUGCAGAAAGCCCACAACAGAGCCUUCUGCUAUGUACAACUCCUGGAUUUGAACAAGAAAUAGAAGAAAUGAUGUUUUUUUUAUCUUGGUGCUUAAUCAGAUCAAAUGGCUCUGCAAGGGGCCGCAUGUCUAUCCCUCUCCUUACAGAUGACAGUGAGGCACAAAAGCUGAAAUAACUUAGCCUAAAAAUGUUUUUGGACACUAGUGGGGCCAGGAAUAGAACCUAAGGAACAGAAGUCUUCAGGGCUUUCUCCACAGCGUCACAUCACAGCUUUCAGAAGCAUAAGCUUCUACCUAUAAUUUCUGACUAUUUCAUAAGCUGUUAAUGUAUGCCUGGUCUAAAAAUACUGUUUUGAAGAGUUGGGACUGACCCACUGGUGACUACUUUAAACCUGGAGGGUUGUUUCUCAUAAGCCUGGAAGAAGCGAGCCUUUCAGAAAUAGAGGUAUCUAUGACUGGUUGAACUUGCUUGCUCAGCAGCUGAAUAUAUGAAUGCUGUUUUGUUGCAGUUGCUCUGACCCCUGGUUCUGCUAAAUCUUCCUCAUCUUACAGUAAAUCAUUGUUAAAACUCUCCGCAUUUGCCUGGAAUCUGUCUCUUGAAAUCUAGCUUGAUUUUUGGGUGACCUUAUUGGGUUGCCUUGUGGAUGAAUGUCUGUGCCUGGUGUGUUGUUUGUUGCUGUACUAACUUGGAUUCUGCAGGAUGAGUAAAGACCUUGGGAAGAAAAAAUCGUGUUAUUUUCUAAGUGCCCACUGUUGAAACUUGGUUAUUUAACAUCCUAAUUUUGAUCCUGCCCUAAUAAAAAGUUUUUGGAAGUUGGAAUGAUGUCUCAGCUUUUGUUUGUUUUUUUAAUAAAAAGUAGCUGCUGAAGAGUCCUGGUGGAAUGGUGUUCUGAGUUUCAAAGCAUCAUCAGCGCUCUUCUGGUCAUGUUUCAAAACCAUAUCUGUGGGUGCCUACAAACAUCACCUGCCUCAGGAUUUUCUUGGGAGUGUUUUCAGGUUUUGGUGGCAUUGUAGAGUGUCCAAAAGGUGCUUCUUAAGUGGUAUUCAGCACCUCAGUGCUAACUGAGGUUUAUGAAGGAGUGAUACCUACUUCAGUUGUGAACACAAGAACUGAAAGUGUGGAAGCGAAGCAGUCUGACCAUCAGCAUGUGAAUACGGUGGUAAAAUGUUUUUGCUUCAGAUAUUGAAAGCAAAGCAGGUGAGUGUGGAUUCUAUUAGUAUUAUCUGCCUACUUUACCUUAUAUGUAACUUUUUGUUUGCUGGUGGGAACAAGUUCUUCAUACUAACAAUGAUGAAUAUGAAGAAUCUUGCUAUCUUUGUUUCCUGGUAGACCACUGCUAUAGAUCUCCUGCUCCAAAAUGCGUCCUUUUCUUUAGGGGGGUUAUUUAAAUGUGGAAGGGUUGUGAACUUAAUUGCAGUAAGCCUGCCAACAACUGAUCAGAAAAAGUAAAUAAGUAUGGCGCAUCAUGCAUAUGCCUUGUCAGUUUGUUCCAUCUCUAGGUUUGGGCAGCUGGAGGAGAGGAGUUGGGUCCUUGUCCUUCUUAGCCUGGGUUGGAUCUAUCAGUCAUGGCUUAUCUGAUGAGUGAGGGAAAAGGUCUAGUUAACAUUGUGAGUGAUUUAUGGAAGAGAUUUCCCCAGAAAGGGUUUUUGAAUGUCCUGAAGAGUAUUUUGCAGUUAGUGUUUAAUUUGUUGUUGCCAUUAAAAAGCAACUCUGCUCUUCACAGGUGGUGUUUUGCUGUCCCUACCCUGUCCCCUAUUCUGUCAACUAGUACUUAUGCAACAGCGUAGUUAAGCAGGUCAAAGAGGUAAUUUAGCUGAAAAAUAACCUCGCUAGAAGUGCAGCUAGUUUUCAUGUAUGUGUAUAGCUGUUAGCUCAGGGAUGUGGCAGGAAGGCAUGGGUCUUGUGUGGUGAAAAGCUUGGGUUGCACACAGUUGCUGUAAUCCUGGAAUUGCAUGCAAUUUGCCCCUUCCCGAACCUUUGUGUGAAAGCCAUGUUUCAUUAGGUCUGUUUUUCUGGGAUGCCAUCGGAUGUGGCUGUAGGAUCUCUUUGGGCUGCUGAUGAAGCACUGUAUUGUCUCUUGGCUAAUCAAUCCAUUUCAGCAAGUGGAAGCAUGAUCCAGUUUACAGUCACUCAAAGCAUAUGGACUUAAUGACUUUAAGCAGUUUGUUUCCAUUUGUUGCCACGUGGUGGUGAUGUUGGUUGUUCCCUUCUCUCCUACUGCUGAAGGGAAGUGGCAGAUAACAUUGGCAAGGGAUGUCCAAUAGAUAGAUCGGUGCCUCCAGAUGACUCUAACCAGUGCCAUGUGGUUUUGCCAGUUACCAGUAUGGUGAGGAAAUGCAUGCUCCUGUUUGUACUCUUAUUGACAUGUAAGUAUUCCUGUACCUCAGCAGGGUGAGCUAAUCAACAGCAAGUAUUUUGUGACAGACAACACUGACAAAAUAUAAUCAUUUUUCAAGGUAAUGUGCUGCAGGUAUCUCCUUUUGAAUCCUUGGUCGUCAUAGUCCAUAACCCUUGGUUAUGCAGAAGACAUGAAAUGAGGCAUUCACCCAAGUUAACCAGUAAAGGAUAGCUGACACUGGGUAUGGGAAGGACUGUUCUCUCCUUCAGUUGCCUACAACUAAUGCCUUGGGUUCUCAUCAGUUUUAUGCUGACAAGCAGAGAUGGGGAAGAGAUCAUCCAUUCAGAACACGUGUUUAAAUGAGAUCAAUAACACUGUAAAAUCCUCUCUGCUGACUACUGAUUAUAAGUGUCAGUGUGAUCUAGGCCUUGAAGAAAUUUAUAUGAUAUAGGUGACAGCAUAGUCACUGGGAGGACAGCUUCCAAAACAGUUACAUCUGAAGAUCUAAAUUUGUUUAAUCAAUUCUGACUUUCCUGCUCUUGUCUGUGUCCAGUAUUACAAACCCAGGUUUGUUGAGGCACUGAAUCUUAUGUCUUCUUGUAGCGCAGUGCUUGUUUCUGUUCUUCACAGCAAAGCAGAAGAGGAAAGUGGGAAACUGAGAUUCUCAUGCAUUUUGAAGCCUUCAUUUGGCUAAGAUGAGAAGGGAAACUUGAAUAAGACAAUAUUAGUCAAACAUUCUAUAGAUUUUUCCAAUUAGGAAUUGUAUAAAAGGAAACAGUGUGUGCUGUCUGUGUGUACAGGUUAUUGUUGGUCACAGUAAGUGCAUGAUUGAGAUGCUGCUCUAGAAUGUUUGUUUUGUAAUCUCCAUUUCUUAAUAGCUGAUCUUUGUCUUUUUUCAUCAAACUGAUGAUCUUAUUUCUGUUUUGAUUAAGUGGAUGACUUUGUCUUGUAAUACUGCUUGGCAAAAACAGGUAUAUUUUGAUAGAAGUUUGGUUUUAGAUUUACAUCUGUAGGUAGCGUUACUUCUGUUGAAGGGGUGCAUUUUAUUUUUUGUUCCAGUGAUAUAUGAUGCAGAAAACAAAUGAGAAUUAGAAAACACAUCAAAUCAAAUGUUCUUCAUGUAAACUCUUUCAACGUGAUGUAUGUUGCAAUGGCUGAUUUGGGGCAGCAUUGGACUCCGGAAUAUGCAGAGCAGUUUUGCAUAGCUCUGAAGAUGUUUGGGUGGAUACUGGAGGUCUAGCCAUCACAAUUAUGUAGUUUCCACAGCCUGCAUGAGUGUCUUGACAGCUGACUAUGUUCUGUUGCAAGACGGUAUAUUGGACUAUGUAUACAUGCCUUCAGUGUUUCAAAACUCAGCCUGUGAGGUGUGGGAGAAAAGCUAGCAGUCACAUUUAUGAGUCAAAUUCUUUGGAGGUGUGCGAGAGUAGUUGGUGAAGGAACAUAAAAAGAUGAAGAUCGGGGAAUGGAAUGUUUGGUGUUGGUUUUAAUUAGAAUUGUCCUGCUCAUCAUUCAUACCGUGAGAUAAAAGGGAAAAAUAUCCUCUCUGCACAUGCAGAGAAAAAUAUUUCUAUUACAGUUAGUGAGCAACCCUAAUUGGACUGCCAAAUAUAAAUUUGUCAAAAACUCAUACUGAUUCAGUAUUAAAGCUAGCAAUUAUCUCAGAAGGAAAAAAAAAACAACCAAAAAAAGAAAAAAAACACCAAACUAAUAAAGCCCAGUCAGUAAACUUUUCUCUUGUGUAUAUAGGUCUUCUUGUGGCUUUCUCCUUCCAAACAGUAUAAAGAUGGGAUUCAUGUUGUGGUUUGGAAGAGAGCAUGUUUUAAACCAGAGGAGGAAGUCAAUGGAUGACCUUUAGAGCUUAGGGAAGAAGGCUCUUCUGUCUUAGAGGGGCUUUCUUCCAGCUGAGGAGUAACCAGCUGCUCAACCAUACUGCUGUCUUCCCAUAGGUGUGGUGCAGUGACAUGCCAGGAGAGGUAUUUGCUACCCUUGAUUGUAGUUAGUCAUGCUAAGUGACCUGUGCUCUAAUCUCCCAGCAUUGCAAAGCAGCCAAAGUGACCGAUACUGUUACUUCACAUGCUCCUGCAAGGUAGAUUAGAAUCUGCUGCUCCUGAACUUAAUUUGCUGGCAGCAUCUUUAAAAUACUUUCUAGAGCGUUUGGAUCGUAAUCAUUUUUAAGGCUUGAAACUUACUAAAUGAAGCAAAACAAUCUGUUCUCCUUUUGUAUUUAAAAAAAAAUUAGAUUUAAAUUGUUCUACAUUGUAAAAUUUAAUGUCAGGGUAGGUGUGUGCAAGUAACCUUUUCACCCUCCAGUUGAUACAAAGGACUGUUCUCACUUCACAGAAAUGCCUCUGCGUAGACUGUGGUUCCAUCUGAACCAAUUUGUUUUUGGCUUCUGACUAAAAAGCAUACAAAGAGAUAGUCCAGGGUAAGUACAUUGGGUUGCUAUCAAGCAUGAUAUGACAGAUGUCAUAUUAAAAAUAAUGGCAGGGAAAACAAAGCUCUUAAUUGAUUGCUUUCCCUUUCUAAAAUACAAGUAAGGCAGUUUUGACAUUAUUCAACUCAGGUCAUCAAAUUCAUAUAAUUAUAUACCAAUGUAAUGCAUGCAUCUUAGAAGAAUGAAAAGUACAGAAGGAUGAGUGUGAAUGUAAAUUUACUCAUCUUUUAUAAAAUGCUUUCUUGAGGUGCUGACAUUUUCAGUGCAUUGAUUGUUCAUAAUGAAUACUCUUGCAUAAAAUAUUUCAAAGGUAAUUUUCUGAGGCCAGAAAAUGACUUAAAAAGUUAUUCACUAAAGAGCAGUCAAUAAGCUGUGUCCGGAAGCAGAUUUAUGGGAUGUGAAAUAAAUUGAUGUAACAGAGGUUGCUUAUACAAAAGAAUUACCUGCCCUUUUACAGCUUCGAUGUCCUAAAACAGGAAACUCAAAAGCGAUGUGGGCCAAUUCAGAGGCAGUCAUUCUGUACUAUGCAGUCAUGGGCCAUUGAAGGAAAAGAAGAAAGUGGCUUUGGGUAAAGUCUGCCUACUUGUAGCAGAAGUCCAAGAGGUAGUCAUCUCUGCAGGUAAAAUGCAAAGUUUGUUUGCUAUAUACCUCAGGAUGGAUUAUACUAGUCAAUGGAGAUACAGUAUGUUUCAAGAAUUUACUUAAAAACAAGGAAAAUAAAUUAGUUGAUCUCUCAGACUGCUUCCAGGCAGUAGUUUUUAAACAACUUAUCGUAUGUUUCUUGGCUUUUACAGCUUCACAUAAAAGGUUUUCCUGGUUCAUAAAGGAAAUUAAUGUGAAAUCAAUAAUGGCAUUUAAAAAUUCACCAAACAUUUCCCAUCCAGAGAAAGCCUCUCUCAGAGUGCUACUAAUGAUACAGCAGAGUGGGGAGAACACACACAGCAUUGAUGCUAAAGGCAGACAGAAGGGAAAGCAUCACAGAUGGAAAAUGCAGUGAGGACUGAUGCUUUUGGGAGCCACCAGGAGCAAGGGGGAUCUGCCUGUACCCUGACCUGAACAAACUGUGGGAUCAACUUGCAUGAGGCCUUUGCUUGAAAAUGUAGCCUAGAUGCUGCACUUCCUUCAAGCUAAUGGGUGAAAGUGGCAUGAACAACAGAGGAAAAACUCACUUGAUGGUGAAAAUACCAACAGAAACAUAGUAAGACUUGUUUCUUGUAGUAUAUUACAACUGUAUGACCCCCUGCAUUCCAGGCACUGAAGAGGAUACUUUUGCUGCUUCAGAUUGCUUCAUCCUACUACCCCAGGAAACCUGGAAUCAUUGUGGAAACAGGAAAGGCAAGUCAUGGAACAGGAUUUGUUCGUUGUGCUUUCAUUAAAAAUAGGAACUGAGGAGGAACCAUACAAAAGAUACAAGUGAGAUCAUACCUGGUGGUCUGGUGGAUGUAUAUGUGCUUAGGCCACUACUCUACUGAAAAAGUUGCAUUGUAGUUAUAAGUUGUGCAGUUUAAUACCACUGUAACUACUGGCACUUACCACAUUUAUACCAUUUGUCAGUUUUCCCUUUCUCCCUCCUUUUUCCAGCAUUUUUCUCAGGGUGGCUCAGAAAUAGUGGUGCAGGCCUCUGCAGUCUGAGGUGUGGUGGUCCUUGCUGAAAGGUGGCUUCCUGAUCUCCUGUGCCCAGGAGUGCACCUCUGUGCUGUGCAGCCUCACCUCCAGCACCAGGUGCAGAUCUGGGUGCUGCAGUAAAAAAAGGGGGGGCGGGGCUUAAAGCUGUUUUGGAGCCCAAAGGAGGGCUACAAAGAUGGAGCAGGGUCUGGAGGGCAAGGAGUGUGAGGAGCAGCUGAGCCUCCUGGGUUUGCUCAGAGCAGAGGAGCUGAGGGGAGGCCUCAUGGCGGCUGCAGCUCCUCACAGGGAGU